rnacentral:rRNA from 1 species
AUUGAACGCUGGCGGCAGGCCUAACACAUGCAAGUCGAGCGGAUGAAGGGAGCUUGCUCCUGGAUUCAGCGGCGGACGGGCGAGUAAUGCAUAGGAAUCUGCCUGGUAGUGGGGGAUAACGUCCGGAAACGGGCGCUAAUACCGCAUACGUCCUGAGGGAGAAAGUGGGGGAUCUUCGGACCUCACGCUAUCAGAUGAGCCUAGGUCGGAUUAGCUAGUUGGUGGGGUAAAGGCCUACCAAGGCGACGAUCCGUACCUGGUAUGGGAGGUUGAUCAGCCACCCGGGACCUGGGACCCGGUCCAGACUCCUACGGGGGGCGGCGGUGGGGAUUUUUCGCCAUGGGGCGAAGCCCUGCGGCAGCCAGGCCGCGUGUGUGAAGAAGUUCUUCGGUUUGUAAAGCACUUUAUGUUGGGAGGAAGGGCAGUUAGUUAAUACCUUGCUGUUUUGCCGUUACCAACAGGAUAGGCACCGGCUAACUUCUU